rnacentral:rRNA from 1 species
AUUGGGUAGGGGAGCGUUGUAUACGCGGAGAAACAGUAGCGCAAGCGGCUGUGGAGUGUAUAGAAGUGAGAAUGCCGGAAUGAGUAGCGCGAAUGCAGUGAGAAUCUGCAUGGCCGAAAGCCUCAGGUUUCUGGAGGAAGGUUCGUCCGCUCCAGGUUAGUCGGGAGCUAAGGUGAGGCCGAAAGGCGUAGCCGAUGCACAGACGGUAGAGAUUCCGUCACCACCAAAAGAGUUAAGCACAGGGACACAUAUGAAG